UACAGAGGCCUCGAGCGUUUAGGCGGAAUCACUGGGCUUAAAGCGUGUGUAGGCGGACUUCUAAGUACCUUGUGAAAUCCCACGGCUUACCCGUGGAACGGCUGGGUAUACUGGUUGUCUUGAGCCACUUAGGGGCUACCGGAACAAAUGGUGGAGCGGUGAAAUGCGUAGAUAUCAUUUGGAACGCCAAUGGUGAAAACAGGUAGCUGGGAGUGUGCUGACGCUGAGACACGAAAGCCAGGGGAGCGAACGGG
rnacentral:rRNA from 1 species